rnacentral:piRNA from 1 species
UGGGAUAAAGAUCUCUGUGACUUUUU